CCUGACUGCUAUCGGAUUGAUACUAAGCCAUGCGAGUCAUUGUAGUAAUACAAGGCAGACGGCUCAGUAACGCGUAGUCAACCUAACCUAUGGACGGGAAUAACCUCGGGAAACUGAGUAUAAUGCCCGAUAGAACAUUAUGCCUGGAAUGGUUUAUGUUCCAAAUGAUUUAUCGCCGUAGGAUGGGACUGCGGCCUAUCAGUUUGUUGGUGAGGUAAUGGCCCACCAAGACUAUUACAGGUACGGGCUCUGAGAGGAGUGGCCCGGAGAUGGGUACUGAGACACGGACCCAGGCCCUAUGGGGCGCAGCAGGCGAGAAAACUUUGCAAUGUGCGAAAGCACGACAAGGUUAAUCCGAGUGGUUUCUGCUAAAGGAACCUUUUGUCGGUCCUAGAAACACCGAUGAAUAAGGGGUGGGCAAGUUCUGGUGUCAGCCGCCGCGGUAAAACCAGCACCUCAAGUGGUCAGGAUGAUUAUUGGGCCUAAAGCAUCCGUAGCCGGCUUUGUUAGGUUUCGGUUAAAUCUGUACGCUUAACGUACAGGCUGCCGGGAAUACUGCAGAGCUAGGGAGUGGGAGAGGUAGACGGUACUCGGUAGGAAGGGGUAAAAUCCUUUGAUCUAUUGAUGACCACCUGUGGCGAAGGCGGUCUACCAGAACACGUCCGACGGUGAGGGAUGAAAGCUGGGGGAGCAAACCGGAUUAGAUACCCGGGUAGUCCCAGCUGUAAACUAUGCAAACUCAGUGAUGCAUUGGCUUGUGGCCAAUGCAGUGCUGCAGGGAAGCCGUUAAGUUUGCCGCCUGGGAAGUACGUACGCAAGUAUGAAACUUAAAGGAAUUGGCGGGGGAGCACCACAAGGGGUGAAGCCUGCGGUUC
rnacentral:rRNA from 1 species